GAAUAUUGGACAAUGGGGGCAACCCUGAUCCAGCCAUGCCGCGUGUGUGAAGAAGGCCUUCGGGUUGUAAAGCACUUUCAGUGGUGAGGAAAGGUGUGUGGUUAAUACCCGCAUACUGUGACGUUAGCCACAGAAGAAGCACCGGCUCACUCCGUGCCAGCAGCCGCGGUAAUACGGAGGGUGCGAGCGUUAAUCGGAAUAACUGGGCGUAAAGCGCGCGUAGGUGGUUGAGUCAGUCAGAUGUGAAAGCCCCGGGCUUAACCUGGGAACUGCACCUGAUACUGCUUGACUAGAGUACGGUAGAGGGCAGUGGAAUUUCCUGUGUAGCGGUGAAAUGCGUAGAUAUAGGAAGGAACACCAGUGGCGAAGGCGACUGCCUGGACUGAUGCUGACACUGAGGUGCGAAAGCGUGGGUAGCAAACAGG
rnacentral:rRNA from 1 species